rnacentral:rRNA from 1 species
CAAUAGCGUAUAUUAAAGUUGUUGCAGUUAAAAAGCUCGUAGUUGGAUUUCUGGCAGGAUGACUCCGCCCUCAGUCGAGUGCGCGGAGCCGUCUUACCAUCCUUCUGUUAAACCUUGAGUCCUUCACGGUCUCCUGGUGGCUCAGAUAUUUUACCUUGAGAAAAUUAGAGUGUUUCAGGCAGGCUAGCGCCGGAAUACAUUAGCAUGGAAUAAUGGAAUAGGACUUUUGCCUCUUCUGUUGGUCUGAGGGUUCGAGUAAUGAUUAAUAGGGAUAGUUGGGGGCAUUAGGUACUUCACUGUCAGAGGUGAAAUUCUCGGAUUUGUGAAAGACUAACUUAUGCGAAAGCAUUUGCCAAGGAUGUUUUCAUUAA